CUGCAAAUGCACUAAUGAUGCAUAAUUAUCAUCGCUGCAAGCCUUCUACACAUCUGGGCAAAUGGCUCCAGCUUCCAUGAUGAUUCUCCUAUUUUACCCAAUUCUGUGUUUGAAUGGUUCCAUACUGCCCCUGGUAGCAGUAACAGUUGGCUUCUAGGAGUUAUUUAGGACUUACUGAGAUGAAUACUUGAAGGGUCUUUCUGUUGUGACGCACAUGGUCUGAGAUCAAGUGGACCCUCUUGUAAUCUAAGCUGGGAGCCUAAGAGCUUAGUUUUCCUGGAUCACAUACUCCUCAUCCUCAACUCCCUUCCUAUCUUUGGAGUGUGUCAGGGGACAAAUCUCCACCUCUUUCUGCCAGUUCCCCCUCCUGAGCCUGCAUCACAUAAUGCUGUAAAAAACAGCAUUAAAAAUUUGCAGUACCUAACACUCGGAAGCCACUGGAGAAUCCACUGACAGAUUAACCAGAGAGCUUCAACAUCUACAAGCUUUGAUCCAAUAUGCAACCCACCCAAAUGGGCUGAGAUGCCCUGAAGAGUCAUUCUCCACAGCUGGAAACAAUUCCGCCUUUCAGACUGAAGCCUGGAUGUGAAAGGAGCCCAUGACCGCGGCAUCUUCCAGGUGUGGCCAAGCUGCUGUGGAGCUCCAGGGCAGCCCAGGCACAGCCACACCUUCCCACCUUUCCUUUAUUUGUCAUUCAGCUACUCGUUUCGGGAGUAACCUCUUUCACUUCCAUCACUGCACCCAG
rnacentral:lncRNA from 1 species